rnacentral:rRNA from 1 species
GACGUAGGGGGCAAGCGUUGUUCGGAAUUAUUGGGCGUAAAGCGCUCGUAGGCGGGACUGGAAGUCCGUGUUGAAAGACCUCGGCUCAACUGAGGGACCGGCUCGGAUACUCUAGUUCUUGAGGCAAUCAGAGGGUGAUGGAAUUCCCGGUGUAGCGGUGAGAUGCGUAGAUAUCGGGAGGAACACCAGUGGCGAAGGCGAUCACCUGGGGUUGUUCUGACGCUGAGGAGCGAAAGCUAGGGGAGCAAACGGG